rnacentral:rRNA from 1 species
AUUGAACGCUGGCGGCAUGCUUUACACAUGCAAGUCGAACGGCAGCGCGGGCUUCGGCCUGGCGGCGAGUGGCGAACGGGUGAGUAAUGCAUCGGAACGUGCCCAGUAGUGGGGGAUAGCCCGGCGAAAGCCGGAUUAAUACCGCAUACGACCUGAGGGUGAAAGCGGGGGACCGAAAAGCCUCGCGCUGUUGGAGCGGCCGAUGUCGGGUUAGCGAGUUGGUGGGGUGAAGGCUUACCAAGGCGACGAUCCGUAGCUGGUCUGAGAGGACGACCAGCCACACUGGGACUGAGACACGGCCCAGACUCCUACGGGAGGCAGCAGUGGGGAAUUUUGGACAAUGGGGGCAACCCUGAUCCAGCCAUGCCGCGUGCGGGAAGAAGGCCUUCGGGUUGUAAAACGCUUUUGUUCGGGAAGAAAUCCUCUGGGCUAAUACCCCGGGGGGAUGACGGUACCGGAAGAAUAAGCACCGGCUAACUACGUG